GGCCUGUAGCUCAGCGGUAGAGCGCAUUGCACCCGUGCAACGGGCGAGGUCGCCGGUUCGAUUCCGGUCAGGCCCU
rnacentral:tRNA from 1 species